CACGGCCCAUACUCCUACGGGAGGCAGCAGUAGGGAAUCUUCCACAAUGGGCGCAAGCCUGAUGGAGCAACACCGCGUGAGUGAAGAAGGGUUUCGGCUCGUAAAGCUCUGUUGUUAAAGAAGAACACGUAUGAGAGUAACUGUUCAUACGUUGACGGUAUUUAACCAGAAAGUCACGGCUAACUACGUGCCAGCAGCCGCGGUAAUACGUAGGUGGCAAGCGUUAUCCGGAUUUAUUGGGCGUAAAGAGAGUGCAGGCGGUUUUCUAAGUCUGAUGUGAAAGCCUUCGGCUUAACCGGAGAAGUGCAUCGGAAACUGGAUAACUUGAGUGCAGAAGAGGGUAGUGGAACUCCAUGUGUAGCGGUGGAAUGCGUAGAUAUAUGGAAGAACACCAGUGGCGAAGGCGGCUACCUGGUCUGCAACUGACGCUGAGACUCGAAAGCAUGGGUAGCGAACAGGAUUAGAUACCCUGGUAGUCCAUGCCGUAAACGAUGAGUGCUAGGUGUUGGAGGGUUUCCGCCCUUCAGUGCCGGAGCUAACGCAUUAAGCAC
rnacentral:rRNA from 1 species